rnacentral:lncRNA from 1 species
UCGCUGAUCAAGGAUCCUAAGAAGGGGGGCUGUUAGCUUGCCUACCUGCACCUGCGGCACUGAAAUGCAAGCCCCGUAAAAUAGGGCAUCAGUACAAAAAAUGUAUUGAGUAUGUAAGGCAUGUAAAUUAGUACGUAAAAAACAUAGAUGAAACAUGGAAUAAUAGAAAUAUGUCUUUAAAUCUGAAUAACUUUAUAAAUUCUAAAACAAUAAUAAUGCCAUGCAUGUGCAUAUAAAUGUCGUGCCAUGCAUAGGUAUGGGUGUACAUUAUAUAAUCAAUCCACUGAGGACAUUCCAUCAUAUCCUCUCGACCACUCUGGAAAACAUCAUCAACAUAUACCAGUUGAGAAGAUGGUGGUACAUAUACAACAUUGUAACCUUUUCCCACAUCCCAUAUAAAUGUCACGCCCCUUUUUUUCUCGCAAAAAUUGGGUUUAUGACAUUUGGUAUGACAACUCAUUCCCUCUUUAGGAAUUGGGAUUGAAUUGAAGAGUCGCCACCUAAUGAUUAAAGUGCAUUAGGACACUAAGAAGAGUAUGAAUUUAGAAAACCAGAGAUUGGAUAAGGGCUAGAAAUUAUCUCGAGGGGAAGGUGUUAGGCAGCCCUUAAGAUUUACUAGUGUGGUUCCCGGUCAUACUAUAGUUGUAAUUUUAAAUGAAAAUAACAAGUAGACACAUAAGAGUUUCAAAUACAAGGGGUUUUCACAUAACGGUUGCAAGUAAUUAAAGUAAAAGGAAAUAAAAAAACUGAAAUUUUAAGUAAUUUUAAAAUUCUAAAAAUGAAACAAACAAAUAAGGGGAAGGGGUCCUAGGUUGACCAAUAAUAUGGACAAUACCCGGUAAUCACUCCUUAGAAGAGGGGUUACACGUGGUAUUAGCGCACCGGUCAUCAUAUCCAUAUCUACCAUUUCCCACCACGUUAAGGUAUAUAAGAGCAGAAUAGUUUUGUUACUUAUUGCAUCCUAUUACCCGCCCCAAUCCUAUCAGCCCCGGAGGCAUUUGGGACUACUAGUCAUGAAGGGAGGGAGAUUGGGAUUUUAUGUUUAAAAGGACAAAAUCUAAGGCGACAAUCAAAAAUAUGUUUAGCAAAUCUGGGGAAAGCACAUAAACAGUAAAUGGCUCAAAAAUGCCUCCUCAACUUAAGAAAGACAGUUUAGCAUGUCUUGAACGUACUGGUUAUGAUCUGAUUAGACAUAAAAGGGUGUGAGGCGGACUGAUUAAUUAUAUAUUUCACAUAAGAAAUUCGAAUCAGGCCUGCGUACUAGUUGUAGCUUAACGAAAUCUAAUUCAGUUAACUAGUUACCUUAUGGCUUGCCAAAAUGUUAACAAAACCUAUAGGCAAGAUAUCUAUCAGUUUUAGAAAAGAAGUAUGUUGAUUUUAAAGAAGAGGAUUUGUCAAUUACAGGAACGGAAGUUCUGCAUAUAUUAAGCAUUGCUACUAGGGGUGGGCAUUCGGGCAGUUCAGAUUAAAUAUAGAAUUUCUGUUUGGAUUUUCGAUUUUCGGAUUGAAGAAAUGACAAUCCAAAUCCAAUCCAAAUAAGCUCGGAUUGGAUCGGAUUUUUUAAGUUCGGUUUCGGAUUAAUCGGGUUAUAUACUUUGGAUUUUUCGGUUUUGAGCUUAUAAAUUAAUAUGUUUCUUUUUUUCAUAAAAAUGAAUAUCCAAAUGAAAUACUCAUAUUAAAUUGCAUAAAAAUUUACUCAUUUUUACCGAAAUCAUCCUAAUAAAGUAUUCAAGUACUAAAAUUACUAUCAAGAAAAUGCAAUAGCGACAUUAAUAUGGCCGCUAAAAAGCAGUAAUAGUAAAACCAUGUGCAAAUAGAAAGUAUUCUAACAAUAACUUAGUAAUUAAUAUUACAUAUAUAAAAUAAUAUUCAAUGGAUAGGGUAUGUAACUUAUUGUUAUUGACAUAUAGAUAAUGGAGUAAAUAUAAAGUAUAAAAUUUUCGGAUUUCUAAAAGUAAAGUACCAAAUCCAAUAUCCAAUCCGAAAUCCAAAAAAUUUAAAAAUUAAAUCCAAAAUCCAAUCCGUAAUCUGAAAAUCCAAACCAAAAAUCUAAAAAAUUCGAAUUUCGGUUUGGAUUUCAGGUUUGCCCAAACUAUGCCCACCCCUAAUUGCUACUACUGAUUUUAGAUUUAUAAGCGAAUGGACGAUUUAGAUUUAGUUGAUAGCUCUUAUAGGCAUGAUUUCUAGGCAUUAUUAAUUUUAAAAUGCUUUUUACAGUCGAAACAAGAGUGCAGAAGUCCUAUAGGCAUGGUAUCUAAAAUGUUGUUUUUAAACUAAACAGGUUUGCCUAGUGACAUAUGCAUAUGCAAAGUUCAGGACAUCUUAUAGGUAUAUUAUCUAUAUGAUAUGCAGCAUUUCAGAAAUGACUUAUAGACAUGGUCUAUAUAUAAUGUAGAAGUACAAAAACCUAUAGUCAUGGAAUCUAUAUGAAAUGCAGAAGUGCAGAAACCUAUAAACAUGACAUCUAUAUGAAGGCAAACCUGUAGACAUGGCGUAUAUAUAAAUGUAGAAGUGUAAAGCUGAAAGCGGGAUAUAUGAGUGCAGGAGUAUAUUAGGUCCCUAUGAACCUGACAUCUACCUUUUUGCAUGUAUGAUUGAUCCUCCUCUUUUCACUAACAACCCCAAUAGUUAUUACUAGUUAUUUCAACCCAGAAUGAAUAAGGAAAAGCAAAAUUACAUCAGAAAACUAAAAUUUACAACCAAGGAAAGGCUAAUUCAGAUUUCAUGUCUGAAGAAUGAAGUAAACCAGCUCCAAAGAUCAAAUUUCCAAAGUCUUUCUCUUAUUUGGGAUGUGUCAAAGUUCCCUAAGUGUCUCAAACAGACUUCGGGUAGUGCUUACACCCAAAUAUAUUGCAGAAUUGAAACGUAGUGCAGUGUGGAAGGGCUAGUCCUCAAGUGUCCAAGUUCAAAAGGAACUCAAGGUCCCAAGGCAAGGCUCACAGGAGGGGGCAGAACUUAGAAUCUAAGAGGAAGUGUAAGUGCAAAGAAGGGAUUCUGGGAAGAGACAAGGACAUCCUAGUGGUCAUACCUAGCAAUUAGAAGUGUUGUCACACCCCACCAACCUGUUAGGCCACAUUGUUUAGGAGUUCGGAUCCCCUAAAGGAUCAAGUCCAAACAUGAGCAACAAUUUGCAUGUUGCCAUGUUCUGAACUUCAACUCAAAGCACAUAGAGGGGAACAGGGGUACAGGCGUUCACAACAGCAACAAAUGCAAAGAAAUCAACAUGCUAAUUAACAUUGAAUAUAGACAGUAAAGUAGACAUUAGUGUAAAGGCUAAAAAAUAAACACAUAGGGAUGAUGGUGAAACCAAAACUAAAACAUACAAGUUUCAAGGAAACAAUCGAGAAAGUAGUAGCCUUGUAAAGUCAAAUGCAAACAGGCAAUAAGAAUGCUAUGAGUUUAGAAAAGGAAUGUGAGAUUGUAAGUGUCUGAAGUGUGUAAUGUGUGUCUGAAAGUGCAGAGGGGUCGUGACCUUUCAUAAUGUAGAAGGCAAGUAGAAAUAGGUACGAAAAUAGAUUGAAAAUCAAUUACACGAGGUCUCCCUUUAAUUAAGGGAUUUUGAUUUCAAACGGGUAAACUAAUUAAGGAAAGAGAUUAAUAAAACACUUUUCAAAGCAGUACAAGAGGGGUAAAUACAUAGAGGUUUAUUUAAGGACAAGUCUUGACAGUACACGGUUUGUGCAAAUAAGGCAAGAGAAUCAAUUAACAACUAGUAAAUCAGAAAAUUAAAGAUUUUGUAUGAAUGAACUAAGUCAGAAAAGUGGGAAAGAUUUUAAUUUGAGGAAAAUCAGUACCAGUCAAUUAGACUUAUUAAAAGGAAUUCUGAAUCAAUCACAAGUUGUGAACCCCUUUUGAAGAAAGAUUCAUCAUAUAUAAAAGCAUACAGACACGUUAUACAGGAAGAAAUUUGUCAUAAUAUUCAAUAGAAGAGUCUAGUAUAGGAGAAUCAGAAUUGUGUGCAAACGAAGGAAGUUCACACUUAGUUCAUAGACUCAGAAAUUAGUCUGAAAGAGUCAAGUGUUCUCAAACAGAACCCUAGUUCAAUCAUAUGACCAAACUCGGAGGAACCCCCUUCCCCAAUUACUAGGGUUUCAACCUUGAGUCGAAUAUAGAAAUGAUGAGGCAACGGGCUCAGAGGUUUCUUUUCAGAAUCUCAUGAGAAGACAAGCAAAUACAAAUAAAAACUUGAAGCAGACAGAGUGAAGGAGCAUAAUAAGAGAACAGUCAUGAUAGUAGAAGAAACAUGUUUAAGAAAAACCUUUCAGAAGGGACUUACACAAGGUUCAGUAGAAGAGAAAACAAUAAACACAGUAGAAGAUAUAGUAGAAGAACUUAACCAAGGUUCAGAAGAGAAAAAGAAAUAGUAUAACAUUUAAGAAAACAGUAGAAGAAACAUGUUUAAAUAGGUCUUUUUAGCAUAACUCAAACAAGGUUCAGUAGAAGGUAAACAAAGAACUUAAAAACUUAGUAGAAAACAUAGUAGAAGAACACAAGAAUAUCGGAAAAGCAUAGCAAAAGAACAUAUAGGAAAACAAAGCAAGAUAAACAUGUAAGAGCAUGGUAUAGGAAUACAAUUGGAAAAUGAAACGCAGAAAGCAUAGAAGAACAUGUAUAAUAGUAGGAAAGCAUAAGAAAGCAGUAGAAGCACAUGCGUGAUAAAAGAAAAAACAUAUGACCACAGCGGAGACAAAUACACACAAAGAAAGGAAUGAAAAGUCAGAGAAAUAUUUUAAACCUUUCAAAAAAAUCCUAAAUCAAAGAGAAGUGAUUUUAAAGAUAAUUUUUGAAAUGAAAACUGGGCAAAUCGCUUAAAAUCCCAAGCAUAGCACAGAUACAUGACAAAUCCAAGAAAAAUCGGAGAGAACCUCGAGUAGUCAGGGUUUCAGAAGAAUCCUAGAAUGAGAAAAGCUUGAAAAAGGUCUGAUAUGGGUUGGAUAGGUUUGAACCAAGCUCAAAACACCAUAGCGUGCCGGAGCAGGGUCGGAGAUGGCCAUAGAACCUUGAAUCGGCGAAGAUCCGAACGAACACAUUCGAGGUCAGACCUCAAACCUUAAGUGUUUAUGAUCAGAGGGAGAUGAUUUUAAGCCAUACAUGGCCUGAGAGGCCAUGAAUUUUGAUGAGUUUGAGGUAGAAGACAAUACAAGAUGUUAGGGUUUCGAGAACGUUUGAGAGACUUUGAGAAGGGGUGUGUUUAGAG